CAGGUGUACAAUGGGGUGUAGCAGAGUGCUACGUGUCUAGCGGAGGAGAGCUAGCGCCCUAAGUACAUGCCGUCGUGGCAGCCGGAGAGGUUUUGGCACCCGGUUCGUGUGGUGUUGUGGCCGUCGGAGGAGCGCUGGAGCCUAGCGGAAGGACAGCUGUCGGGCUGUCGAGUCCUUGCUGACGUCCUCUUGCUUCCGUAAGGGGGCUGAGAGCCGCUGUCGUCACAGAGCGUGCGGGGCGCCAUCAUUGCCUAUCUGGCGGAGCGAGCCAGAUGGGACGCCGAUCUUGUUCCCCGUAGCCUGAGUCAGCUUGGGGUAGGGUAAUGAUGGCGCCUCCUGUCGACGUGGUCGGUCCGCGCCCUAGGUUGGGCGAUGUGGAGGCUCCUCCGAGGUCGAGGUCGAGUCUGUCUUCCGUGGUCGUGGUCGAGUCCGAGCCCCUGGGUCGGGCGAGGCGGAGACCGUCGGCUGAGGCCAGGGCUGAGUCCGAGCCUUGGGGUCGGGCGAAGCGGAGUUCGUCGUCAUCUGGGGCUGAGCCCAAGUCCGAGCCCUGGGUCGGGCGGAGCGGAGUUUGUCGUCUUCUGGGGCUGAGCCCAAGUCCGAGCCCUGGGUCGGGCGGAGUGGAGUUCGCCGUCUUCUGGGGCUGAGCCCAAGUCCGAGCCCUGGGUCGGGCGGAGCGGAGUUCGCCGUCUUUCGGGGCUGAGCCCAAGUCCGAGCCCUGGGUCGGGCGGAGCGGAGUUCGCCGUCUUCCGGGGCUGAGCCCAAGUCCGAGCCCUGGGUCGGGCGGAGCGGAGUUCGCCGUCUUCCGGGGCUGAGCCCGAGUCCGAGCCCUGGGUCGGGCGGAGCGGAGUUUGUCGUCUUCCGGGGCUGAGCCCGAGUCCGAGCCCUGGGUCGGGCGAAGCAGAGCUUCCUAUGGUGCCCGAGGUCGGGCCUGACUGCCUGUCAGCCUCACUCUGUCGAGUGGCACAGCAGUCGGAGCGGCGCAGGCGGCGCUGUCCUUCUGUCAGGCCGGUCAGUGGAGCGGCGAAGUGACUGCGGUCACUUCGGCUCUGUCGACUGGAGGACGCGUGUCAGGAUAAAGGUGUCAGGCCACCUUUGCAUUAAAUGCUCCUGCGAUCUGGUCGGUUGGCGCGGCGAUUUGGUCAGGGUUGUUUCUUGGCGAAGACAGGGCCUCGGGCGAGCCGUAAGUAUGUUCGUCGCUGGAGGGGGGCCUCGGGCGAGACGGAAAUCCUCCGGGGUCGGCUGCCCUUGUCCGAGGCUAGGCUCGGGCGAGGCGUGAUCGAGUCCCUCGAAUGGACCGAUCCCUGACUAAAUCGCACCCAUCAGGCCUUUGCAGCUUUAUGCUGAUGGGGUUACCAGCUGAGAAUUAGGAGACUUGAGGGUACCCCUAAUUAUGGUCCCCGACAGGUCAUUAAUAUACUCCUACUAAUAUCAUUAUUAUUAUUAUGAAAUGCACCCACAAUAAACUCCAACUUGAUGAAUAGAUAUCUAUUUAUUCUAAUUAUUUUAUUUGUUUGAUAGAUGUUUGAAAUAUGAAACACACUCCUAUUGUUUUCUUUCUUUUUAGAAAAAUAGUAUUUUGAAUGUGGGGUAAAAAGUAAAAGUUACUUAAAAAUUAAAUAUUCAUAUAAAUAAAUGCUUAUGGUGUAUUAUUUAAUGAUAUGCAUAAUCAUUUGGUUGAAUAGAAAACUUUUCUAUUACUUCUUUUCUAAAAUAAUUCUUGGUUUUUAAAAUUCAGUCCUCAAUUUUCAAUACUCAAGUAUAAUUUGAGAUAUCUGAAUUUACUAUUUUAUCUCUUCAUAUAUUUAUUUUAUUAUUAUUAUUAUUAUUUUCUUAUACAGAUUUUGGGCCUUACAAAAGCACUACCCAGAUGACAUUCAAAUUGCAUGGUUGUCGAGAUAGUAGAGGUCGUUCAUCACUCUACUUGGCUUGGUGGUGCUUGGGCCUUUGUCGCUCUGGGCGUCUACUUGCUCCCAAUGCUCGGUGCUAUGGCUCCAAGCUCGUUGGCGAAGAAUCGAAGAGUUGUCUCGGGUGGGGUGUGUUAAGGCUUAGCAGCGAUGACGCAAUGUGGUCUUCCUCGUGUGUCGGUGCUUGGGUUUAGGUGUUGUCGAGUUCCUUGGCUGUAUGCAGCUCGUUUUAGGAAAUCGGAGCUGUUCGUCCCUUAUGUUAAGCUCGACCGUGAUGACUCUAGAUAUGCUUUGUGUGUGGGGCUACCGUCGUUGUUUGAGGGGGCCUGCCGAUUUCUCUGUCGUGCACUCUGUAUUGAUGCAGCUUAUUCCAUUGGAGGAUAGCUUUGUUUUAUUCGGUUUCAGCUGUGUGGCUGCAACUAACCAUUCUGUCCUUUUGCGUUCUCUACCUACAUUCUAUCUAGCAAGGCAGACCGUGUUUCUUCAGUCGUGAUAUGAUGUUGUGUUGCGCCGUUUUCUCAUUGCCAGGUCACCUGUUUUCGAAGGCUCCGUCGUGAUAUGAUGUUGUGUUGGGGCGGAAGAAACAUUUCUACAAAUAAUUAGAGUUGGCAGACCAUUAGUCAAACAAAGUUCAAGCUUGUUGGUUGGAUUGAUUGGAGUUGUGUAUCUUCUGACACAACUAUUUCAGUGGAAUGUACACAUCCAAUUGUCAGCAGAUCAGCUAAACUGCUUCUACACGAUGAAGUGAUGAAAGCCGUAAAUGAGCGAAAUAACAAAACUCAAAGAACAAAAAUGCUUAUCCUCUUCGGGAGGUUGUUGUUUGCUUAUUUUAGUCCUUCUUCUUUAUAAAUAUUAAUCGUCAUGCUCGGUUCCUUUAAAAAAAAGGACAUAAAUGCUUGUUUGGAUAAAAGUUUGCUAAAAUGCAUGAGCUACGACUAAAAUUUUCUUAUCCAAGCGGUAAGGUCGAGAUGUCCACAAUCAGAUCAGAUACGAUAUGAUGCCCUAAUUACUCUUUUUUUUUAAAAAAAAAACUUCAACACUCCUAAACUUUCUACUCAUUAAUAUUCAGAAUUGUUUGAACUAGUCAGAGUGAACACACGCCUUUUCUUUUCUGUCAAUUCUGCAAAAAAAGCGAAGGCCUAAAACUAAGGCAUGUGCAUUUCAAGAAGAAAAUACACAGAGUAGCUAAGAAGAGUGGUCGAAGGUGCUCGCGAGGCCUGUGCAUUUCACACUUCACACUGACAAGUAUGUGCUGAAAAUUGCCAUCCCUGAAUCAUUUUGCAAGAAAGGAUGAUUGAGAAAUCUCGGUUUCAAUAUUCGACUGAGAUUCAGCAUUUGCCUAUGGCCUGUAUUGUAUUGUACCUAUGGAAAGUAGUGCCAUAUAUACUGAAAGUUGGAUUGUGUGUGUGUGGUUUUGUUUUUCUCUGUGGUUCCUCUACGUGUGGCCUAGGUCGUUAGCUUUUGUGUACGAGUGCCACUAUAGCUCUCAACUUUCAGAUUUUUUGUAUACGAAAGGUGCCCUUUUGGCUCCUGUUCCAAUAGUGGCUGAUGUGGCUGGCAGCUCCGCUUGGCUCACUACCACGUCUACGCAAGCCCAUGAAAUCCACUGACGUGCAUAGAAACAAAGGUCGUCAGGGGAAGCAAGUAAAAGUGGUGCUGGUUUUACUUCUCUGCCAAUGCGCAAUGUAAACGCAGCAAUCUGAUUCGUGAGGAAUGCAAGAACUUUCGCAAUGUAAACGCAGCAAUCUGAUAGGUGCCCGAAACCUAUCGAGCCUCUUUGCAGAUAGUUAGUUGUUUCUUGUCUUUCCUCCCUGGCUAGGCCGAUGAAUGCUCUGCAGUUGCUGCGAGCGCGGCUCCUGCUUGGUCCUGCUAGCUAGUAUAGAUUUAUGCUUUUCAUGCGCCUCUCUUUUUAAUAUAACGGGCAGCUCUUCUAUUGGUUCGUUAGUUAAAAAAACGCAGCAAUCUGAUUAUCUUUUUCCACAUACUACUAGAAGGGUUAGCAAUUCUGUGUUAAUUAUUCGAUUCCCAUUUCACUCUACAUUUUGGCUGAAUGUCUUAAUACUCACUAUAUACUAUUAUCGAUGGCAAUGUGGAGCCAUGUUUUCUGUGGCUUCGUAAAUACCUUAAAUGUGAUAACUCCAUCUAUAUUGUUUUGGUUUCGGCAAUUUAAUGGGCAAUCUGGAAAGCCAGAAAUAGAGUGUGCUUUGACAAUGUAUGCUUGUGAAAUCGCCUAACGAGAUUAUUUCACAUGCGGGGCUUUUAAUUUUCUCUUGGGCAGGCUUAGGCAAGAAAGAACUCCAAGAUCUCCUUCAAGAGGGCGCCAAGCUGCUUGUUCGGGCUACAAAUACAAGAGGAGGAAAUUAGAUCUCUGGCCUCAGCGGAUGAGAUGGACGUGACGCUAUACUUCACCUGGUGCUGCAGGAUCCAUGUGGUUUUGAGCAGGAUGAUUGUUUUGCUUCCUUUUUUCUUCUGAGGUUGGGUGUGGCUAUGGUGUAUGUCACCCCUUUAGCCCUUUUCACAACACUCUAGGUCAUCUCUCUUCUCCUACCUUUUGGCUAUCUGUGCCGUGCCUGUAAUAGGAGUCCUCUGUCAAGUCAUCUAAACCAGAUAACUACUGUGAUAGGGAAACUCUGUUGCGAGUUACCUUAGUUACUCUGCAUUUACUUGACCUUCUGUAUUGUAUCUGGACCUGCUAUAUUUCUAUUACGGUAAUAAUAGAAAAUAUAUGGUAAUAAUAGAAAUGGGGUUUUACUCGCUCGAAAAAAAAGAGAAGUAGCAGUGUGCCUUUGUCGUACAUGUAAGAAAACGGCCGUCGACUUGCCUUGCAGUCUCCAUCAGUAAAGCUGUGUAUCGACAGUGGGAGUAGGCCGGUACAAUCACUUGCCAAUCAUUCAAACUUUACAUCAUCUGAUCUACUCGUGCGCUCUGUACCACAUAUUUUCUCUCUGGUUUUUCAUUCGUUUCUCUGGUUUCAUUUUGCUAGUGUUCUAGCACUACUUUAUGUGUGAUGUAAACAUAAAACUGCAUCUGUUGGCUUAUUUCGUUUUCCAUUCCACAAGAUAGGUAUAUACAUAUAUAUGCAGUUUAAUAAUAGCAUCACGCUUGUUGGUACAUCUCGAAUUCGUUCACUUAAGAUCUCAAAAAAGACAUAGGAAAGGAAAGAAGGAAUUGAAGUGAAGAGGACACACAUCCAUUAAUUAGCAUAUAUAUGAUGAGACAGAUAUAUAAAUAAAAAGCACCAGUUAUAUAUUAACUUAACACGGUGUCGUAUAGUAUUGUCGGCGCCUCGGCGGAUUUAUAUAUAUAGUUUGUAUCCAUAUUACAUGUAUAUGAUAGCCGGAGCUUGCAUUCACAUGUUCCUCACCCCAAGUAUAUAUAGGCGUUGCAGUAGUUUUGUAGCAGGUAUAGAGGUAGCCAAUGCAAGGCCAUGAUUGCAACAAUGGAUACAUCACAUCCAGCAGAGAACUGCUGGAAAGCAAAGGAACCAUGGCCGGGGAAAAGAAGAAAAAAAAAGGAAAAAAGGAAAGAAGAAACCAAGCAAGCAAAGGGUACACGGUGACCCGAAGCAAAACCGAACGACAGAGACGACGCAUGGCACUAGCUACUAGCUCACGCAGGAGCUAGCUAGCUAGCUAGCCGGCGGGGGGCGGCCGGCGGGCGCGGUCUAGUCGCUGCCCGGGGGCUUGUAGGCGAUGAAGCUGACGCACUGCGUCUGCUUGAUGUUGUCGAAGCCGAUGACGCGGUGGAAGGCGUCCGGGUAGGAUUUGAUGGCCUCCUGCAGCUCCUUGUACACCUGGGUGGCGUCGUUGCAGCCGAACAUGGGCAGCUUCCACAUGGUCCAGUAGCGGCCGUCGUAGUAGCACGGGGAGGUGGAGUUCUCGCGGUACACGAAGCCGACCUUGCUGAACUCGAGGCAGGGUAUCCAGCCGUUGCGCAGCAGGUAGUCCACCUGCUUCAGCAGGUCGUCCGUCGACAGCGGCGGCAGGUACGACAGCGUCUCGAACUUCUUGUUGCCGUAGGCCGGCCACACCUGCACGUAGUACGUGUGUUUUGGUUCGUUUGGGGUUGGGAAAUGGGAUGGGAUGGGCAACACACAUCAGUCCAUGCAUGGAUCAUCAGUUCCCUUCCUAUUACUAACUCGCUAGCUGCAGCUGCUGCAAUGCAAAGAACUACUAGCUAGGAUGCAUUUGUUACCUGCAUGCACCGGAUCCUUCCGCCGUUGCUGACGUUGCCGAGGCUUCUGGAGGAGCGGCGGGCGACGGGGAGGCUGGCGGUGGACUUGAGCCCCUGGAACGGAGCGACGGCGGUGGCCGACGAGGCCAUCAUCACGGUGGGCGCCAUGGCUGCCUGGCUGCCUAGUAUGUAUGUACUCGCUGCUUGCUUGCUUGCUUGGGUCGUCCUGUAGUAGGCUCCCCCACACCGACGGCAUAUAUAGAGGGGGAGAGUGUGCGACGGGAUGGCCGGCUCCGGCUCUCGUUGGGGGCAGGACGCAGUACAGGACAGGACGAAGCGGAUGUGGGACGAGUGGCCACCGUUCUCCCGUGGCCGCGCCCGGCCAGCCUGGCCCUAUCCUGAUCGCGUCCGCCACCACAUGUCGCGUCCCCGUGGCGCGCCUUAUCGCCUGCGCGCCAUGGUUGGACUAUGCGUGAUGUGCCAGGGACUUGUAGAUAGGAGGAAGCGCAGUUUAGGCUCGUCGCGGUUCUGGGCAAAGACAAAACAGUUUUGGGCUUGGGCUUCGGCUUCGGCUUCGGCUGCGUCUGCUUGCAGUUUUGGCUCUUUGCAUCGUCUGCUGCUCUCUCACCUGAGGCACUGACGCCGGCCCUGUUUGGAUCUACAGAAUUGGGCUGAAUUCAAGUCAGUUUCCAGGAUGGCUUGUUUGGCAGCGCAUUGAAAUUGGAAAGUGACAGUAGAAUUUUUUGGCAUAUAUAUGCGCCUUACUUAGCUACCUCGAAUUCAUGGCAAUUCCGCCUCUUGUCUUUUAUCGGGCGUCGUCCACGAGCGCCUACGCCUUCCCCAACCAUUCCACCUAUUCUAUUUUUCUACAAAAAAAAUAAUUACCCCAGCCUCAGCUAUUUAUGAAAAAUAUAUGAACUUUCGCUAGAGUUGCAUUUGAAUUCCCCACGUCUGUCAUCAGUCAUCACGAAAGAAAGGUAAAUCUAAAACUCCUCCUAAAAAUGUUAUUUAAUUACCCAAACAUGCCUAAAACUGCAUUUAAGGAUAUCUACUAUGAAAGGUAUUGCAAAAUAACACACUAAAUGUGCCAUUUAUCUUUGCAAGCCGCGGAUGCAGAUCUAGCGCCAGAUUAAAGGGAGCUCGAUUCAUGGAUAUAUGUUCUUUUUCAAAGAAUGUUUAUGGUCGAUGUUUGUUAUUUUUUUCGUUUUGCGAAACCGUAUGCAAGAAAUUACAAAAGGUGGGGAACUUUUUGUUUUCAUAAUCAAAAAAAUAUGUCUUUUAGAUUACGCGUAUCUAAGCAAUGUAAAUACGCUAAAUUUGUGUCUUACUUAUGUACCUACGUGCUCAAUUAACUAAAUAUUCCACAUAUUUUUGUCUUACCAAUAUAAUCUAUUAUAGAAAAUAAUUCAACAACCAUAGAAAUAUGCAUAAAUUUUUCUAGACUACACAUUCUACCAUUUCUCUACUGAUAUAAGGUCCUGUCCUUAAGCAACCUAGUUUUUAAGAAGCCAGAUUCUAUCUCUAAUUUCCAGAAAUUGGUUUAUAAAAACAACUGGUUAAUCGUGUUUGUAACCAUCUCAAUUUCUAUAAAUUAGUUUUAGCUAGGGGAGGCUAGCUUCUUGGUUUUAAGAAACCGAGAAUCCAGUUUCCAUAAACAAGCACAUAAACUGAUAUGUUUGAAACCACCUCAUCUUGAUAAACCAAUUUCUUAAAACUGGGAGCUUCCAUACAGACCCUUAAGCAUCAGUUUUUCUCGUUUCCACCGUCGUCCAUUUAAAAAAUCCUUAUGCAUUUUAUAAUCUAACCCACGGUCUAACAACUACAACACAUACAAGGCAAAACCGCAUUCUUGUGUCACUUUCCAAUUCAAUGCGUUGGUGGCCCCAGGUCUGUACAGUCUCCGUGUUCGCCCCGAGAUCUUGCCUGGCGAUGUUGCCUCCGACCUCGUCGCGACACAGAUCCUCGUGCCCGAUAUACCUCCGUGUUGGCCUACCCACGCUCCCCAAACCCUAGGGGUUCCACGCACGAGAUAGGGAUAUGAAGGCGCUGGUGGGGCGGACGGUGCGAAAUCGGUAGGCCCCUCACAAUCCCCUCCCACAAGUUGUCAUCGAUCUCGCUGCGACAUAGGCCCUCGCGCCCGAUCUACCACCACACUGGCCUCCCCUCGCUCCGCAAACCGUAGGGGUUCCGCACGAGAUAGGGAUGGAGGCGCUGCUGGGGCAGGUACUGUGGAAGACGUUCCCAGGGUUCGGUACCUUCAUGGGCGUUGUGGAGUCGUACGACCUCUACGCGACCUAUUUCUACAUGCUCUAAAAGGACGAUGAUUCCGAGGAGGUCGACGUCGACAAGUUGGCCCUAGAUUAUCGUUGGACCCACGAUGCCAUGCGCGCUGCAGUAACAACAGAAGCACACCCACUACAGGAGACAAAAUCAUUUUUGGCGGUCAAAAGCCGCCAAAAAUAAGCCAUAUACCACCGAAAAUAGCUUAUUUUUGGCGGCAUCUUGCCGCCAAAAAAAUUAUCCAAAAAUAAAGACUAAUUUUUGGCAGCAACACCUAGGUCGAAAAUAACUUAUUUUCGACGGUCACGCUGUUGCCGCCGAAAAUAGAGCAGCCGAAAAUAUACAAGCUUAUUUUCGACAGAAUGUAAAAUUAACAGCAAUUUUAACAACACUAUAAUAUAAUCACAAUAUUAUGACAGCAAAAGAAAUUCCAGAAUUACACACAUUCAACACAAAAUAUCACAAUUCACCACAAUUCCUCACAAAUACAUCACAGUUCACCAAAAUACCUUACAAAUCCAUUACAAUCUAGCACAAAUUCACAAUUCCAUCACAAAAACAUCAUAAUCGAGUGCAUCAUCCAAAAUCACCACAAGAGUCAAAUCAUGUCUCAAGGUAUUGGUGGUCCAACCACUUGGGCUUCAGAGUUGCCCUCGAAAAAGGCUAAGGUUUGAUUCAUUUUCACCGGCGUUGUAACGAGGAGGUGGGUUAUGCACACUCGAGAGAUUGUCACCAUAAUAUGUUGAUGUGAAGUUUGACACCUACUCCAGAAUGUAUGCCUGUUUAAUGGAAGCCUCCAUUUUGCAUUUCUUUCUACAUUUCUUUUGAAUAACCAUUAGACACUUCUCGAUUGAAUAUCACCAAUGUCCCUGCACGGGGCCCCGAUUCGUGCCUCAUACGGGAGAUGCAGAAUCAAAUGUUGCAUCGGAUUGCCAUUCUUUCCAAGUGGAAGCCAAGUGGAAAGUUCUUCUCCAACUUACACAUUAACACGAGUGCCAUUCUUUCCAAGUCUGCAAUCAUGGUCCGAGAUAACUCCUCGACACAAAGCUAGCAGAAGAAAUAGCUCAACUCUGCAAGAACUAUCUAGACAUGCUCAGGGACAUAGCCCCAUACCAUCCCCAGAAGAAGUUGUUCAAUCCAUAUGUGGUAGUCAUGACUCUUCAUCCCUAAGACUCAUAUAGUAGAUAAGUUCACCCCCUACUCAUGUUAGCUGCAUACCCAUCAGGGAACAUUAACAUCUUGAUCCACUCUAGUACUUCCCUCCUCAGGGCCUUGCUCAAGACAAAAUCGACCUUAGGCCUUCUCCAUGUCUUUCCACUACUAGGAAGCUUCAUCUCUUGGUUUGGUCUAUCACAUAACACUGCCAGAUCCACUCUUGCCUUAAUGUUAUCCUUUGUCUUAUCAGGAAUAUCCACGAUUGUUGCCCAAAGUGCCUCUAUGGCAUUCUUUUCAGUGUGUAUCACAUCAAUAUUGCGUGGAAGGAGAAGGUCAUCAUAAUAGGGGAGCCGAGUCAAGCCCGAAUUUAUGGGUCCACAUAUGUUGCUCACCAUAUCCCACAAAACCACCUUCUAGAUUGACCACGAGACCGUCUAUUUGUUGAUGAACUUUGGCACUAGUCAUCUGUAAGGAAAAUUGACCUCGACCCAUUUGACUAAAUGAUUUUGUUGAUCGAUGAUCAACAGAAUCUAUGGACUAAUGUGUUUGCUAGUGUUUGUAUUUGUAGUUCACAAGAUGCUAAAGUAACUUGGACCAAGGCAUUGAGCAAGCAACACUCAAAAGAAGACACUAUGAAGACCAUAAGUGAAUAUCAAGAAGUAUAAAGCAAAGUACAAUACUUGAAUAAAGUGUAGCCACUCGCGGACCGUCCGGCUGAGAACAACGGACUAUCCGAUGCACCAGGAAACAGGACCCAACGACUAGUUUCCUGGUGGCACUGUGGAGGACAACCACCGGAUUGUUCGGUGCACCACCGGACUGUCCCGUGUAAGGAUGACAUGCGACAACAGUCACCUGCAACGGUCAUAUCCAACGGCUAUGGGGCACCGGAUAGGGCACCGGACUGUCCAGUGCCUACCACCAGACUGUCCGGUGUGCCACAAAGAGGAACAGCUUUUCUCCAACUGCUAGUUUUGAGUUGGGGCCUAUAUAUACUUCACCCAACCGACCAUUUUGAAGGUGUGGGAGCCCAACAUACCAGCACAUGUUAUAGACAUUUCCAAGUGCUCAAACACCCAAGUGCUUAAUAGAACCACUCGGUGAUUAGCGUAGGUGUUUUGCGAAGUGCUUAGGUUAGUUAGACCACUUAUACGCUUGCUCUAGGUGAAUCCUAGUUAGUUGAGUGAGUUUAGAAAAACCCACAAACCCCAUGGCUCUUGUGCGAGCUGUUGUAAUUGUAUCGCAUGGAGCGAGAGUCUUGCGAGACUGUGAUAACCGAGUUUGUGUCAUGGCCGCCACCGUGUACCGAAGGGAACGAGGCCCGUAACGUUUCGGUGGGAAUCUCUAUAGUGGAGACGACGGGGAGCGUUCGAUAGGAGCUGGAAGCGGAGCACCACUUGAGCAUGAAGAAGGCCCAUGACUCUCUACGGAGUUACUCGACCGUGGUGCUUGGCUCUCGCGUGGGCUACUCUUUUGCGUAGGGGCACCAACGAGGGUUAGUCGGGACCUUGCGUGGUUCCGGAUACCUCGGUAAAAAUACUAGCGUCAUCCAUGAGAGUUUGCUUUCUCUACAACCUCUUUAAUCUUCUGCAAUUACUCUAUCUACUUACGUUGCAAUCUUUACUAUUUUUAUUGUAGAAUAUUUAUGAUUGGAACUUAGGUUGCUUUUGCGGUAGAGAUAGCAACACUUACACAAAACCUAGUUUGCACAUUCUAGAUUGCUUAUUUGCAUAGGUUUUGUUCUAAGGAUUUAUUUGUGACCUAGUUUAGAAAGUAGUUUUUAGAAGUCCUAAUUCACCCCCUCUUAGGCAUCGCCGUUUCCUAAAUAAUCACUGUAGGUGGGCGGUCUAUCACUAUGACACCUUUCAUAAAGGUCUUGAUGUCUUAUCGGAAUGCAUGAUCAGGAGGGAGAAAUUGUCGGUGUUUAUCGAACGUCGAAUAUUUGUCACCCUUCUUCAACCAAAUGAACCUAAGACCUUGAUUGCAAACUGGACAUGGGAACUUACCGUGAACACACUAGGUGGAGAAUAGCCCAUAUGCCGGGAAGUCAUGUAUGGAGUACUUGUACCAAACAUGCAUUUUGAAGUUUUUCUUUGUAGCUCAGUCGUAUGUCCAUACCCCUUCCUCCCAAGCACAGACCAAUUCAUCAUUCACAUGCUCCAUGUACACACUCAUUUUAUUCUCCGGGUGUCCAGGAAUUAUCAACGACAAGAACAUGUUCUGUCAUUGAAAGCAUAUGACGGGGGAGAUUGAGGGGGAUAACGAACACAGGCAACACGUGUAUGGGUAGCUAUCAAUCCAUACGUAUUGAACCCAUCUGUGGCCAGUGCAACAUGUACGUUACGAGCUUCUUUAGCUUCGUCAUGGUGAAUGACAUCAAAUUGGGUCCAUGCUUCACCAUCGGAUGCAUGUACCAUCUUGUCAGGAUUCUAUCGUUUUCCAUUUUUGUGCCAUGCAUCUGUUUCAUGGAAUCCUCAGUCAUGUAUAGCCAUUGGAUCCUCGAUAUGAAUGGAAUAUGUGUAGGAUUAUCACAGGGAUGCUGAGCUAUCUCUUCUGUCCAUCACCAGAGUCUACCUC
rnacentral:lncRNA from 1 species